rnacentral:rRNA from 1 species
AACGUAGGAGCCUAGCGUUAUCCGAAUUUACUGGGCGUAAAGCGCGUGCAGGCGGCUUCGUAAGUGGGCUGUGAAAUCUCCCGGCUCAACUGGGAGGGGACGGUCCAGACUGCGAGGCUGGAGGCAGGGAGAGGGAGGUGGAAUUCCCGGUGUAGUGGUGAAAUGCGUAGAGAUCGGGAGGAACACCAGUGGCGAAAGCGGCCUCCUGGCCCUGACCUGACGCUGAGACGCGAAAGCUAGGGGAGCGAACGGG